UUUGGUUGGAGGAUGCCAGUGGUAUAUGGGGGGGGGGAGAAAGAUAACUUCAAUGUCAUUAUGCACAAACUGGAGUGCUGCAGGGUGGUCAGGAGCAUUGUCUACAAUCAGCAACACUUUAAAGUCAAGUCCUUUCUCUUCGAGGUACUGCUUGACUUCCGGAAUGAAACACUUGUGGAAUCAAUCCAGAAAUAAUGCUGCUAUCACCCAAGC